rnacentral:lncRNA from 1 species
AGGCAGCAGCCUGAUGGCAGCAAUGAAUCAGCAGCCGGUGGACUUGUCAAAGGCAUUCCUCCACUUUAAUCCUAUUGACAGGGACUACUGCCUGGAACAGGAACUGCGGGGAGUGGAGACACCAGAGCUGCAGGGGACAGGCUGCCUGGGAAGUCAAAUGAGGGCAGAAAGCAUCAGCCGCUCGAGGAAAUAACCUGUCCUUGCACAUUUCCUCAUGUUUGAGCUUCGAUAUUGUGAUUGCAAGCACUGUGAUGAGAGAAGAAAAGCUCAUGGCUUGCUUGGGCACUCAUUUUCCUGUAAGGAUGGACACCCCAGGACAAUCUCUAAGAGCAAUUUUGAAACCCCACUGAGCUGCAAGUCACCUUCCCUACCAACUGAGAUUUGUGCCCCUUUGCUUCCUGAAGGCUGAGGUGUGGCAGAGAGCAUGAGAAAAAGAAAACACCCCCCGUUUUGCUGAGCCCCAGCAGGGUGAACAGAGGGAAAAGGUGCUUCAGGGCAGGAAGAAACUGUGAAGAAAUAGGUUUGUAAGCUCCAUUUAUAUUGGAUUGUUUGAAAAUUGUCCUGAGAGUGCCUUCUGGGGACAGCUGUCCUGCUCUGAGGA